UGCAAGUCGAGCGGACAGAUGGGAGCUUGCUCCCUGAUGUUAGCGGCGGACGGGUGAGUAACACGUGGGUAACCUGCCUGUAAGACUGGGAUAACUCCGGGAAACCGGGGCUAAUACCGGAUGGUUGUUUGAACCGCAUGGUUCAGACAUAAAAGGUGGCUUCGGCUACCACUUACAGAUGGACCCGCGGCGCAUUAGCUAGUUGGUGAGGUAACGGCUCACCAAGGCGACGAUGCGUAGCCGACCUGAGAGGGUGAUCGGCCACACUGGGACUGAGACACGGCCCAGACUCCUACGGGAGGCAGCAGUAGGGAAUCUUCCGCAAUGGACGAAAGUCUGACGGAGCAACGCCGCGUGAGUGAUGAAGGUUUUCGGAUCGUAAAGCUCUGUUGUUAGGGAAGAACAAGUGCCGUUCAAAUAGGGCGGCACCUUGACGGUACCUAACCAGAAAGCCACGGCUAACUACGUGCCAGCAGCCGCGGUAAUACGUAGGUGGCAAGCGUUGUCCGGAAUUAUUGGGCGUAAAGGGCUCGCAGGCGGUUUCUUAAGUCUGAUGUGAAAGCCCCCGGCUCAACCGGGGAGGGUCAUUGGAAACUGGGGAACUUGAGUGCAGAAGAGGAGAGUGGAAUUCCACGUGUAGCGGUGAAAUGCGUAGAGAUGUGGAGGAACACCAGUGGCGAAGGCGACUCUCUGGUCUGUAACUGACGCUGAGGAGCGAAAGCGUGGGGAGC
rnacentral:rRNA from 1 species